rnacentral:rRNA from 1 species
UAAUACNUAAGUAACCUGCCCUAGACAGGGGGAUAACUGCUGGAAACGGCAGCUAAGACCGCAUAGGUAUGGACACUGCAUGGUGACCAUAUUAAAAGUGCCAAGGCACUGGUAGAGGAUGGACUUAUGGCGCAUUAGCUGGUUGGUGAGGUAACGGCUCACCAAGGCGACGAUGCGUAGCCGACCUGAGAGGGUGACCGGCCACACUGGGACUGAGACACGGCCCAGACUCCUACGGGAGGCAGCAGUAGGGAAUUUUCGGCAAUGGGGGGAACCCUGACCGAGCAACGCCGCGUGAAGGAAGAAGGAAUUCGUUCUGUAAACUUCUGUUAUAAAGGAAGAACGGCGGAUAUAGGGAAUGAUAUCCGAGUGACGGUACUUUAUGAGAAAGCCACGGCUAACUACGUGCCAGCAGCCGCGGUAAUACGUAGGUGGCGAGCGUUAUCCGGAAUUAUUGGGCGUAAAGAGGGAGUAGGCGGCGGCAGAGGUCUGUGGUGAAGGACUGAAGCUUAACUUCAGUAAGCCAUAGAAACCGGGCUGCUAGAGUGCAGGGGAGGAUCGUGGAAUUCCAUGUGUAGCGGUGAAAUGCGUAGAUAUAUGGAGGAACACCAGUGGCGAAGGCGACGGUCUGGCCUGUAACUGACGCUCAUUCCCGAAAGCGUGGGGAGCAAAUAGGAUUAGAUACCCUAGUAGUCCACGCCGUAAACGAUGAGUACUAAGUGU